GUUACUCUUUUGUACUUUGUCUUUUUCUUUUAUUUUCUUUUGAGCGAUUGUGCGAACAUAGCAUAGCACGCACUAUGCCUUCUGUGUUGUAGCUGCCUGGCCAGGGCGACUGGCGGAUAAGGUCUUGUGCGUGGCCUCGAGGCUUAAAAGUAGCAGUGGGGCUUUGUGAAGGACAAAAUGGCGAUGGCGGGCCGUGUAGGUCCCCCUUCCUAUGAUGAGGACCUUUUCACAGACCUGUACUGAGCUCCGUGAGGAUAAAUAACUCUGAGGAGAUGGGCCCUGCAAGCCUCUUGCUUAGCCGUCUGUUCAGAAAAUAGCGUUUUCGAAAUGCCCUGAGUUGACCUAAUGUCUUAUUGGGCUCCUGUCUGCAGGAUUUACGCGCACGUUGGAACCGAAGAGAGCUCUGUUGUUGCAAUGUUCAGCCCACAAGAGCUUACUGGUGAAGGAAUGGGACAAGACCCAUCUUUAUGCAAAGCCAGCGUUACAGUAAUGUUCCAGCAUCUCAUAAUCUAUCCUGGGGAAUUCAGCUGCCUCCCAGGGUGAAUACAGGUAAUUAUCCAAAUUGGUGUAUGUCAUCUUUGUAAAUGUUCAAGAAAACAAGUGGCCGGCGGAACAAUGUUUUUUGGCGCCUUCCAUCUUGUUCCUCUUGAAAUGAUUUUCUGGGGAGGGAGAUCGCAACCCGGUACUACAGUUCUUGUAAGGGUGUGCUGUUACCCUCAUCCAUAUAUCGAUCACGUUACUGUCAGAUGAUUUGAAUUGAUAAGCUGAUGUUCUGUGAGGUACAAAAGUUAAUAGCAUGUUAGAGUUCUGAUGGCAGUUGUUGUUUAUGAAUAAGCUUCAUUCCAUCCUAAUACCUUAAAAUAACUAAUUUGCUUUCCUUUCCAGGUAUUCCUGAUGACAGUCUGCCUCUAUCUUACAGAGCAGCUUGUUGCUAUAUACCAUUGAAAAGCCUUCAGAGCUGAGAGGUACUACUAACCAAUAACCUGCUUGGCUCAAAGGGCCAGCACCUUCUCUCUAAAGCCCAAGAGGAGUUUGAGGAAAACUAGGUGUCUGUGUUCACUCCAGGCUGAAGUUACAGUCCCAGAGCCUGUAAAGGUGAACCCACUGGGACUGGCUGGGGGAGAAGAGGAAGAUUUGUUCCAGAAGGAACUGUCUGAGGGAUGAUAAAGAUUUCUAUACAGAGAAAGGGAGUAAUCAUCACUUGUUGAAAACAUUGGUUUUAUUUUUUCCAGGUCUGAGCAAAUAAGGUGUAUAAAAAAUGGAAUCUGUCUUGGAGGACAUCAGAAGGUGAAUUUUCCAAGUUCUUGGACAACCUAGCUGUUGAAAAGCUUUCUGGGUUUGGGGGGUAUUUCAGAUGUACCUUAAAGUGUUAGCAGACACAGAUUAAGACACUGGGAGCCAAUGAAACAGCAGUUGAGGGUUUGCUGUGUAUCACAUUUCUGUAUUUUAUCACCCCCUUCCUGCAACAUUAUUUAUCUGGAAUCUACCUGCCCUUUUGUUUUUUAGAUACAAGGGCUUGGUUUUGUUACCCAGGCUGGUUUCAAGGCCAUAGCUUUAAGAGAUCCUCUCACCACAGAUUUCCAAAGUGCUGGGAUUGCAGGUGUGAUUCAUGGCACCCAGACUUUGCUGCCUUUCUUACAUGAUCCAGGCCCAGAACCCAAACUCAGGCACUGUAUAGAUGACCACUUUCGUAAACUACUGACCUAGCUUGUUGCCAAUUGUUGAUUGAACUUCCCAUAACUCCACUUCGUGUCUGUUCCUCUGUAUACAGCCACCUUCUGUUCCCGUCAUGAGCCUUUAGGUCUCCAUUUGCAUAUUGCAAAUACUAUGUUCCAUGUAGGUAGCUCAUUCAGGGCCUUGCUCUUCACUUCAAAAAAGGUUCCCUUGAGGACUGGCUGUCAAUUUGUGUUGCUGUGUUGGUUGUUGAUGAAAAUAAUAAAAUGA
ensembl:lncRNA SNHG1 small nucleolar RNA host gene 1